rnacentral:rRNA from 1 species
GAUGAACGCUGGCGGCGUGCCUAAUACAUGCAAGUCGAGCGAACAGACGAGGAGCUUGCUCCUCUGACGUUAGCGGCGGACGGGUGAGUAACACGUGGAUAACCUACCUAUAAGACUGGGAUAACUUCGGGAAACCGGAGCUAAUACCGGAUAAUAUAUUGAACCGCAUGGUUCAAUAGUGAAAGACGGUUUUGCUGUCACUUAUAGAUGGAUCCGCGCCGCAUUAGCUAGUUGGUAAGGUAACGGCUUACCAAGGCAACGAUGCGUAGCCGACCUGAGAGGAUGAUCGGCCACACUGGAACUGAGACACGGUCCAGACUCCUACGGGAGGCAGCAGUAGGGAAUCUUCCGCAAUGGGCGAAAGCUUGACGGAGCAACGCCGCGUGAGUGAUGAAGGUCUUCGGGUCGUAAAACUCUGUUAUUAGGGAAGAACAAAUGUGUAAGUAAAUAUGCACGUCUUGACGGUACCUAAUCAGAAAGCCACGGCUAACUACGUG